rnacentral:tRNA from 1 species
GUCAGGAUGGCCGAGCGGUCUAAGGCGCCAGACUCAAGGUAUACCUUGCCUACUUAGUAGGUCUAUGAGCUGUUCUGGUCCUCUCUGAGGGCGUGGGUUCGAAUCCCACUUCUGACA